rnacentral:rRNA from 1 species
GUGGGGAAUUUUGGACAAUGGGCGAAAGCCUGAUCCAGCCAUGCCGCGUGCAGGAUGAAGGCCUUCGGGUUGUAAACUGCUUUUGUACGGAACGAAAAGACUCCUUCUAAUAAAGGGGGUCCAUGACGGUACCGUAAGAAUAAGCACCGGCUAACUACGUGCCAGCAGCCGCGGUAAUACGUAGGGUGCAAGCGUUAAUCGGAAUUACUGGGCGUAAAGCGUGCGCAGGCGGUUUUGUAAGACAGGUGUGAAAUCCCCGGGCUCAACCUGGGUACUGCACUUGUGACUGCAAGGCUAGAGUGUGUCAGAGGGAGGUGGAAUUCCGCGUGUAGCAGUGAAAUGCGUAGAGAUGCGGAGGAACACCGAUGGCGAAGGCAGCCUCCUGGGAUAACACUGACACUGAGGUGCGAAAGCAUGGGGAGCAAACAGGAUUAGAUACCCCUGUAGUCC